UGAAGCUUGCUUCAAUUGCCGGCGACCGGCGCACGGGUGAGUAACGCGUAUCCAACCUUCCGUACACUCAGGGAUAGCCUUUCGAAAGAAAGAUUAAUACCUGAUGGUAUGAUGAGAUUGCAUGAUAGCAUCAUUAAAGAUUUAUCGGUGUACGAUGGGGAUGCGUUCCAUUAGGUAGUAGGCGGGGUAACGGCCCACCUAGCCGACGAUGGAUAGGGGUUCUGAGAGGAAGGUCCCCCACAUUGGAACUGAGACACGGUCCAAACUCCUACGGGAGGCAGCAGUGAGGAAUAUUGGUCAAUGGACGAGAGUCUGAACCAGCCAAGUAGCGUGAAGGAUGAAGGUCCUACGGAUUGUAAACUUCUUUUAUAAGGGAAUAAAACCUUCCACGUGUGGGAGCUUGUAUGUACCUUAUGAAUAAGCAUCGGCUAACUCCGUGCCAGCAGCCGCGGUAAUACGGAGGAUGCGAGCGUUAUCCGGAUUUAUUGGGUUUAAAGGGAGCGCAGACGGGUCGUUAAGUCAGCUGUGAAAGUUUGGGGCUCAACCUUAAAAUUGCAGUUGAUACUGGCGUCCUUGAGUGCGGUUGAGGUGUGCGGAAUUCGUGGUGUAGCGGUGAAAUGCUUAGAUAUCACGAAGAACUCCGAUUGCGAAGGCAGCACACUAAGCCGUAACUGACGUUCAUGCUCGAAAGUGUGGGUAUCAAACAGGAUUAGAUACCCUGGUAGUCCACACGGUAAACGAUGGAUACUCGCUGUUGGCGAUAUACAGUCAGCGGCUUAGUGAAAGCGUUAAGUAUCCCACCUGGGGAGUACGCCGGCAACGGUGAAACUCAAAGGAAUUGACGGGGGCCCGCACAAGCGGAGGAACAUGUGGUUUAAU
rnacentral:rRNA from 1 species